UACAGAGGGGGCAAGCGUUGUUCGGAAUUACUGGGCGUAAAGGGCGCGUAGGCGGCCAACUAAGUCGGACGUGAAAUCCCCGGGCUCAACCCGGGAACUGCGUCCGAUACUGGAUGGCUUGAAUCCGGGAGAGGGAUGUGGAAUUCCAGGUGUAGCGGUGAAAUGCGUAGAUAUCUGGAGGAACACCGGUGGCGAAGGCGGCAUCCUGGACCAUUACUGACACUGAAAAGCGAAAGCCAGGGGAGCAAACGGG
rnacentral:rRNA from 1 species